rnacentral:rRNA from 1 species
UACGAAGGGGGCUAGCGUUGUUCGGGAUUACUGGGCGUAAAGCGCACGUAGGCGGAUAUUUAAGUCAGGGGUGAAAUCCCAGAGCUCAACUCUGGAACUGCCUUUGAUACUGGGUAUCUUGAGUAUGGAAGAGGUAAGUGGAAUUGCGAGUGUAGAGGUGAAAUUCGUAGAUAUUCGCAGGAACACCAGUGGCGAAGGCGGCUUACUGGUCCAUUACUGACGCUGAGGCUCGAAAGCGUGGGGAGCAAACAGG